rnacentral:tRNA from 1 species
GGACAGGUGGCAGAGGGGUUUAAUGUACCUGACUCGAAAUCAGGCGUGGGGGCAACUCCACCGUGGGUUCAAAUCCCACCCUGUCCGCCA